rnacentral:rRNA from 2 species
CUUUGGGUGUGACUGCGUACCUUUUGUAUAAUGGGUCAGCGACUUAUAUUCUGUAGCAAGGUUAACCGAAUAGGGGAGCCGGAGGGAAACCGAGUCUUAACCGGGCGUUAAGUUGCAGGGUAUAGACCCGAAACCCGGUGAUCUAGCCAUGGGCAGGUUGAAGGUUGGGUAACACUAACUGGAGGACCGAACCGACUAAUGUUGAAAAAUUAGCGGAUGACCUGUGGCUGGGGGUGAAAGGCCAAUCAAACCGGGAGAUAGCUGGUUCUCCCCGAAAGCUAUUUAGGUAGCGCCUCGUGAAUUCAUCUCCGGGGGUAGAGCACUGUUUCGGCUAGGGGGCCAUCCCGGCUUACCAACCCGAUGCAAACUGCGAAUACCGGAGAAUGUUAUCACGGGAGACACACGGCGGGUGCUAACGUCCGUCGUGAAGAGGGAAACAACCCAGACCGCCAGCUAAGGUCCCAAAGUCAUGGUUAAGUGGGAAACGAUGUGGGAAGGCCCAGACAGCCAGGAUGUUGGCUUAGAAGCAGCCAUCAUUUAAAGAAAGCGUAAUAGCUCACUGGUCGAGUCGGCCUGCGCGGAAGAUGUAACGGGGCUAAACCAUGCACCGAAGCUGCGGCAGCGACACUGUGUGUUGUUGGGUAGGGGAGCGUUCUGUAAGCCUGUGAAGGUGUGUCGUGAGGCAUGCUGGAGGUAUCAGAAGUGCGAAUGCUGACAUAAGUAACGAUAAAGCGGGUGAAAAGCCCGCUCGCCGGAAGACCAAGGGUUCCUGUCCAACGUUAAUCGGGGCAGGGUGAGUCGACCCCUAAGGCGAGGCCGAAAGGCGUAGUCGAUGGGAAACGGGUUAAUAUUCCCGUACUUGGUGUUACUGCGAAGGGGGGACGGAGAAGGCUAUGUUGGCCGGGCGACGGUUGUCCCGGUUUAAGCGUGUAGGUGUGUGUUCCAGGUAAAUCCGGUUCACUUUAACACUGAGGCGUGACGACGAGGCACUACGGUGCUGAAGCAACAAAUGCCCUGCUUCCAGGAAAAGCCUCUAAGCAUCAGGUAACAUCAAAUCGUACCCCAAACCGACACAGGUGGUCAGGUAGAGAAUACCAAGGCGCUUGAGAGAACUCGGGUGAAGGAACUAGGCAAAAUGGUGCCGUAACUUCGGGAGAAGGCACGCUGACACGUAGGUGAAGUGAUUUACUCAUGGAGCUGAAGUCAGUCGAAGAUACCAGCUGGCUGCAACUGUUUAUUAAAAACACAGCACUGUGCAAACACGAAAGUGGACGUAUACGGUGUGACGCCUGCCCGGUGCCGGAAGGUUAAUUGAUGGGGUCAGCGCAAGCGAAGCUCCUGAUCGAAGCCCCGGUAAACGGCGGCCGUAACUAUAACGGUCCUAAGGUAGCGAAAUUCCUUGUCGGGUAAGUUCCGACCUGCACGAAUGGCGUAAUGAUGGCCAGGCUGUCUCCACCCGAGACUCAGUGAAAUUGAACUC